ensembl:lncRNA
UAAUUUGAAAUAAACUUUUAUUAUGGAAGUUACUACAUAAAGAAAAUUAAAAUGAGCAAACUAAAUGAGCAAACUAGAAAAAAAAAACAGGGGAAAAAAAACGAUCGACGCAGUCAAUGCCCAGCACAACGCCAACUACAUCCGCCCAUUUAAAAAAGGUAGACCACUAUCCAGGAAACAGAGUACCGUUUGAACAUAUGCUUUCCAACUAAAACAAAAUAGUUUUAAAAAAUUAAAAAGACCCCACACCUUCCAAUGACAUCCCCGCACAUUUCAGAAUUACCUAACCAUCCCUUAUAACCAAACAAGUCCUUGAUACACACAAAAGAGUCCAUGGGUCCGAAGCAGAGAGAAGACUAUGGUCACGGACAUUGUACAGUGAAUGGCUUGGCGACCAAUGACAAAACAGUCUGCUAGUACAUGUUAGAAAUUCUCACAGCGAUGUCAUCAUUCAUAUAUAUAAAGCUCUUUGAUAAAAAUAUGUUGGGGACAUUUAACAGGUGUUUCAAAUAUUGCAGGGCGAAAACCUGAUAGCGCAGCAGAGUUCACCCAAAUAAAAUUAUACUUUUUUUUUUUUUUACCCCGAAAGCAGGUCUAUGGGAUUCUAGGUAAACGAACCCAAAGCUUGGAUUGUACUCCGUCCUUGUCCAGACAGCUUAUACUAUCAUGGGGGGGGGGUAAUUUGGGUGAACUGUCCCUUUAAAAGGUUGGGGGUAGGUGUACGGUCACCUUGAAGGACAAACUGCGGUGCUGGUGUUUCCAGGAGUAAUGGAGUUGUAUCACCACCUUAGUAACAGGUGGUCAGUGUUUUGUGGUGUGUGAUAUAUACUACACACCUUUAUAUAUACACACUACACACCACAAUAAUAUGGCAGGUGGUCAGUGCAUGGCCAUCACCAGGCACACACAGUCUGGGCUGAGAUCAACCAUCAUCUACUGGAGAGUGUGAGGAAGGUGAGCACUAACUAACUUUAUUAAAAACCUUCCAAGGAAAUCUCAUAAAAUCUCUCUCAAGUAUAUAAAGAGGAGUACCAUUUCCUGAUGGACCACUAAAAGAGGAGGAACAAGUAAAGAUGAGAAAUGGCACCACCUUGUGCUUGGAAAAUGUUUACAAAUAGUUUUCAACAUGCAACAAAGCCAUCUGUUAUACCACACAACGGCCCUCCACCAAACUGAAGAGUUGGACUCCAACACAAUAAACCAACUAUUUACCAACAGGACAUGUCAGACAGCAAUCAAUCACUUGAUUGAAUUUUCAUUUAAGAUGACAAAACGGAAAAGGAGAGACAAAGUCAAAAAUCACUAUUAAGGAGGUGUUGCGGUCACAACAGACUGACGGUACCAUUUAAACUCAUUGCACUUCAACACAGUCAGACAAGACAUAUUGUAGUACCACUAUGGCAGUCAUCUCAAAGCCCUCAGGACCAGCAAAGAUACGCAUAAAGCCCUCUGCAUGUCAUGCCCGUCACCGACGUGGAUAUCUCAGUAUAUGAUUGAAGUAAACCAUCAUAAACAGGAUUAUAGAACGAAAAUUUAAAAAAGACUUGACCCAUUACCAACCAUGGUCUCUACGGCUUCCUGAACACUCUGUGGUGUGAUUGGUACAAACCAACCCUGAGGGCUGGGAAGGAUGAGUCAGAGCUCAAACCGAGAGGCUGGAGUGAUGUGUUGAGUUGUUGAACUGGUUGAGCUACACUUCUGAGGGGGAAAAUCCCAGAGACAGACAGAGAGAGGGAGAGACAUGUUUUCUGUAUGUAUUGAGACAACAGACAGGGCAGUCAGAGGAGAGAGAGAGACAUGUUCUGUGUAUGUAUUGUGACAACAGACAGGGCAGUCAGAGGAGAGAGAGAGAGAGACAUAGAGAGAGAGAGACAUGUUCUGUGUAUGUAUUGUGACAACAGACAGGGCAGUCAGAGGGAGAGAGAGAGACAUGUUCUGUGUAUGUAGAGGCAACAGACGGAGCAGUCAGAG